UCUUAAGCCCUGAUUGGUAGCAUGAUUUAAAAGUUUAUGGAGUCCAAAGCCCAAAAUGUUCUUGGGAUAGGCAGCAAAAUUCUUUGUUUUCCCUGAAGCUGCGGCAAUGAAAAUGUGAAUUAACUGCCUGGAUUCUGAAUGGGCCCUUUGGUCUGUUGAGGUUGCAGCCAGUUUUUCUCAUCGACUCUGUGGCCAUUUUGUUGUUGUUG
rnacentral:misc_RNA from 1 species